AUAGUUAUGACUGGAGCUGGUUGCCUGUGGCAUUUGUAGCACAGAAGGCAUUUCAGAACAGAUUCUGCCUUGAGAUGGGAAGUCAUGGAUAUUGCCACUUUUGUGGUUAAGCCUCUAACCAAGAUGUCAGUUCUGCUGGUCUGGGUGUCUUGCUGUCAACUGCUGAAUCCUGGAAAAGAGUUCAUGUUCAGAUUUAGACAAGGAGGAAUCAUAGCUGCUGUCAAAAUUGUCAUUCCCCACCAGAUGCCCUAACUUCCCACUGCUCCCCGCUGGUACUGCUGCCCCUGUUGUCUCUCCAUCCAAAGAGUUUCUGAACAAGAGACAAGCUUUUAUGGAGCCUGGCAAAGCUUCAGAAGGGAAAAGGAAAAAUCGAUACUGCUUCAAAGCAAAGUCUUUGCUUCAGUGAAUAUGACAUUUGCCCUUUCUUCACUAGGGGGAAAAACAACAAGGACACUUACACCGGCAAUGGAAAUAGAAUGAACAACAGAGAGACCUUCCAGGUUUGACAUGUAAAGGGAAAUAACUUUGUAGUUAUUGUCCCUACUUGGAGACAUCAAAAACAGGUGUAGAGUGUAAGGCGGUGCAGGCUGAGAACGAAGUGGAAAGUAACACAAAGUCAAAGAGAAGAGUUGAAGGAAUUUGGAACAAGGGAUAAUGGACUUGGCUGAAAAGAUGGAGAAUGAAAGACACUGCGCAAAGGUGAAGUCCAUUGUUGUACAAUCAAAUUAACUAUUAAAUGUCAGCUGCAAAGGUGAGCCAUAAUAUUAAAAGGACCUUCCAGUAAGUUUUACGCCAUUUUGACAGCUUUACAGCCACUGAAAAUGUCCAUAGAGCCUCACAGUUUGCUAAUGAAUGGCUUCUCCAUAAGAAUGGAACAGGUCAGAAACUUUGAAAGAGAAGCUGGAAAUACCAAUUAAAGAAAUGGAUGCUUCUGCAAAAUCAAAACAACUUUGAAGAACACUCACUUAUAUUUUUGGAGGAUUCACAAAGAACUGAACUAAAUAUAAGCCUUAGAAGUCUGCUCCAAUUCUUUUCCAUAUCCAGGUUUUCAUUAAUUUCAUUCUAAAGCUGGUUAUAACCCCCUGAUUCCAUUCUAUUUUGAUGAUGCCACUACUGAGCUAGUUUCCCAAGUUGUGCUGUUUUGAUGUUUCUACUUUUGUGUCAUUCACCACGUGGAAUUUUAUGGACCUCUUUUCUUUUGGAAUAACACCCAUCAUUUAAAUGUUGUCACUGUUCAAAAAUACUUCUUUUCUUAUGCGAAGCUGUUCCUUCAGCUGCAGCUGCCACCAGUAGUGGUUAACUUGUGGCACCUAAAUUCCCCGCUGAGUGGGUCAGCUGCUGCUGUUGCAGUUAUGUGUCAGAGCAGGCUUCAUCCUUGGUGAAUCAAAUAGCAUGACUUCUGAGGAGCACACUCGUAGUGCAGCAGGACAGUCAUGUACUCAUACUCUGACCCCUGUACUGCUGCUGGGUGAGAGUUCUGCAGCUACAAGAAUCAAUAAAAAUGUAUUGAUUUCUCUGCACU
rnacentral:lncRNA from 1 species